rnacentral:rRNA from 1 species
GACGAACGCUGGCGGCGUGCCUAAUACAUGCAAGUAGAACGCUGAAGGAGGAGCUUGCUUCUCUGGAUGAGUUGCGAACGGGUGAGUAACGCGUAGGUAACCUGCCUGGUAGCGGGGGAUAACUAUUGGAAACGAUAGCUAAUACCGCAUAAUAGCAGUUGUUGCAUGACAACUGUUUGAAAGGUGCAAUUGCACCACUACCAGAUGGACCUGCGUUGUAUUAGCUAGUUGGUGGGGUAACGGCUCACCAAGGCGACGAUACAUAGCCGACCUGAGAGGGGGAUCGGCCAACCUGGGACUGAGACACGGCCCAGACUCCUACGGGAGGCAGCAGUAGGGAAUCUUCGGCAAUGGACGGAAGUCUGACCGAGCAACGCCGCGUGAGUGAAGAAGGGUUUCGGAUCGUAAAGCUCUGUUGUAAGAGAAGAACGAGUGUGAGAGUGGAAAGUUCACACUGUGACGGUAUCUUACCAGAAAGGGACGGCUAACUACGUG